UUAUGUUAGAUUGUAUGUCAUACUAACAAAUGUAAAUCGUGGAGAUAAAUGAGCUGAGCGGAUAAUAACUGCAGUAAUGGACCGCAAAAAAACCACAUGGAUAAAAGAGGAAACUAAUGAGAUACCAAGUUCACCAGGCUCCAUUGUUCAGGUAUGCCCCUCCAGUGUGAAAAUAAAGGAAGAAUCGCAGGAGACUGGGAAUCAAGAGGUAUUUCUAGAGCUUUUGUGACUGACUAGAAUUAGUCAAUGAUUUGUUACUUCAAAGUUGUGGUGAAUAUGAUGGAAGAGUAUCUGGAAGACCCAGUUGUAGCUUCAGGGUUCACUGAUUCUAUCAAGGAGGAUCCAGUACUAAGUUUCGGAGCAGAAGAAACUGAGAAUUUUCUCGUGGUCUCACGGUGGCGUUCUUGCUUCCCAAGCAUUGGGUCCUGGGUUCGAUUCCCGGCGGGUUCAAGGAUUUUCACCUGCCCCGAGAUGACUGGGUGUUAUGUCAUCCUUAUCAUCAUCAUUCAUCUCCAUUAUUAUCGGAGGAAGGCAAUGGUAAACCACCUCCAUUAGGACCUUUCCUAGUACGGCAGUGUAGGUCUCCUGCAUUAUUCCCCUACGCUCUGUCAAGAAGCAUGGGACUUCAUUUCCAUUUCCAUGUUUGCAUCAGUGCUGUGGUAUUUUAAUUAUUUAAUGAAGUCAUUGUGCUGUCUUAAUAUUCAGCCACUUGUAUGAUUGUCAAUUAGAUUACACCACAGUAAAACGUUCGAAUGUACAGUGAAUACAUUUUCCAAACAGAGCAAAAGUGCACCUAAAGCAGCAAAACACAAACUUGUUAUGUUGACAAGACAUCAUAAACUGAUGGGAAAAAAGUGAGAACCAAAACAAUAUUACGAGUGAGCUAUGGUCCAAAAUGAUUGAAGAAACUGAGAUGAAAAAGAAAGUAAAUGAUGAGUUUACUCCUGAUCACUCUGAAAUUGUACAAAUGAUACAUUCUACAUCUACCAGUGAACUGAGUUCUUUUUGAGAAGAAAUUAAAAUGGAUUGGCAUAGGCAGAAAUUCAGUUAACAAAUGAGAGUUGACUGAUGAUGUGAUAUUAUAAUGUGUUUUGAAGUCACAGGAGGCCCCAGUGAUGAAGGCAAAAUGCCUACAACUAACAUCUCUUGUGUUGAGGCUAUAGAAGCCUUAGACACUUUAGUGAAAUUCACUAAGAGAAGACAAUAAUACAGUGCUUUUGAAGUUGUGAAUCUGAACAUCAUACAAAAUAAUUGUCAAAAAAGGGCUCAAUUCAAGAAAAAAGUUUGAAUUUGUGCAAUGUUGAGGGUGCUCAGAAGAUAAUUUCAGCUGAACCGUCAGCGGUAGACACCAGUCUGGCAUAUUCCAUGCCCAGUAGAA